AUUGAACGCUGGCGGCAUGCCUUACACAUGCAAGUCGAACGGCAGCGCGGGAUCAGGCCUGUCGGCGAGUGGCGAACGGGUGAGUAAUACAUCGGAACGUGCCCAAUGGUGGGGGAUAACGCAGCGAAAACUGUGCUAAUACCGCAUACGAUGUACGGAUGAAAUGGGGGGAUCUCAAGACCUUGCGCGAAUGGAGCUGCCGAUGGGAGAUAUCGGAGUUGGUGAGGUAAAGGCUCACCAAGCGGGCUAUAUGUAGCGGGUCUGUGAGGGCGACGAGCCACACUGGGACUGAGACGCGGCCCAGAGUCCUACGGGAGGCAGAAGUGGGGAAUGUUGGACAAAGGGCGAAAGCCUGCUCCAGCGGUGGCGGGUGGAGGCUGCAGGGCUUCGGGUUGUAAGAUGCUUUUGUACGGAACGAAACGGUUUUUUCUAAUAAAGAAGGUGAAUGACGGUACCGGAAGAAUAAGCACCGGCUAACUACGUG
rnacentral:rRNA from 1 species